UAGUCUCUUGAUUUUAAUUCCAUUGAAUAUCUUUGGAAGCACCUCAAACACCAGCUUAAUACUUAGAAGAUAAAAUCAAAAGAAAUUUGGAAAUUAUAUAAAAAAAAAUAGCUACAAAAUAAAAUAAUAUUAAAGCAGUUUUAUGCCAAAAGUUAAUAGAAAGUAUGCCUAGGAGGUUGGAAGUAGUUAUCAAGGCCAAAAGAGGUCCUAAAAAGUACUGAUAUGUAAUUGGAUACCAUUUAAAAAAAUAUUUUAAUACUAUUCUAAAUUAGAUUGGUCAUAGCUCUACAAUUAUCUAAAGGAUUUUUUUCAACUUGAGCUCAUUUGGUAGCUAUAAAAGAAUACUUUAUUUGUUAUACAAACUAUGUGUCAUUAUUCACUACAAUUCAUCUAUAAUAUACCAUUCUUUCUAAAAUAUCUCAACAUUGAAAUAAUUUUUUAAGUCGUUGUAUGAUAAAAUAGAAAUAAAAAAUUAUAAAUAUUAAAAAGAAAUUAGAAUGGCUAUUACC
rnacentral:lncRNA from 1 species